rnacentral:lncRNA from 10 species
GGAUCACGAGGUCAGGAGAUCAAGACCAUCUUGGCUAACACAGUGAAGCCCCGUCUCUACUAAAAAUACAAAAAAUUAGCCGAGUGUGGUGGCAGGCGCCUGUAGUCCCAGCUACCCAGGAGGCUGUGGCAGGAGAAUGACAUGAACCUGGGAGGCGGAGCUUGCAGUGAAUCGAGAUUGCGCCACUGCACUCCAGCCUGGGUGGCAGAGCAAGACUCUGUCUUAAAUAAAUAAAUAAAUAAAGAGAGGCAGCCAGGCUCUGUGGCACAUGCCUGUAGUCCCAGCUACUUGGAGGCUGAGGCAGAAGGAUUGUUUGAGCCCAGGAAGUUCUGGGCUGUAGUGUGUUAUGCUGAUUAGGUGUCCAUACUAAGUUUGGCUUCAAUAUGGUAACCUCCCAUGCGUGGGAGACUACCAGGUUGCCUAGCAGGGGUUGAACUGACCUAGGCUGGAAAUGGAUCAGGUCAAAACUCCCAUGUUGAUCAGGAGUGGGAUCAUGCCUAUGAAUAGCCACUGCACAUGAGCCUGAGUGACACAGUGAGACCCUGUCUCUGAAAAAUCAAUCAAUAAAUAGGAAGCACAGCAUAAAAGUUUAGAAAAGUCACAACCUGGCAAUGUGGUAGAGAAGGGAAGAGCAUUUUUUAGGAGAGAAAUAGAAGCAGGCUGUAUUGCCUUGCUGGAGAGGUUGCGUGACUAAAAGGAAGCCAAGUGCUAACAUCCAAGACAAUGGGAAAAAGGCCUUGAAGGCAUUUCAGGAGUCUUCAAAACAGCCUCCCCCAUCACAGGCUCUGAGGCAUAUAAGGAAAGAGUGGUUUACUGGGCCAGAUCCAGGGCCCUGUCUCCUGCUCAGCCUGGGGACACUGCUCCCCUGCAUCCCUGCUGUUCGAUCACCAGCCAUGACACACAGGGUCCCAAGUACAGCUUGGGCCACCACUCCAGAGGGUGCAAGCCAUAAACUUUGGCAGCUUUCAUGUGGGAUUAAGCCUGCAGGUGCACAGAAUGCAAGAGUGAAGGAAGCUUAGCAGCUCCCACCUGGAUUUCAGAGGAUGUGUAGGAAAGCCUGGGUGUCCAGGCAGAAGUCGGCUGCAUGGUUGGAGUCCCUACAGAGAGCCUCUACUAGGACAGUGCCAAGGGGGAAAGGUGGGGUUGGAGGCCUAACAUAGAGUCCCCACCAGGGCGCUGCCUAGUGGAGCUGUGAGAAGGGGACCCCUCCUCUCUAGAUCCCAGAGUGACAGGUCUGCCAGCAGAUUGCACCCUGAGCCUACAACAGCUGCAGGCACUAAACUCCAACCUGUGUGAGGAGACAUUGGGGCUGGACUUUGCUGCCCAAGACUUUGGGAGCCCACUCCUUGCACCAGUGUGCCUUGGAUGCAGAACAUGGAAUCAGGGAUUAUUUUGGAGCUUUAAAGUUUUUUUUUGUUUUUGUUUUUGUUUUGAGACAGAGUCUUUCUCUGUUGCUCAGGCUGGAGUGUAGUGGUGCAAUCUUGGCUCACGACAACCUUCGCCUCCCGAGUUCAAGCAAUUCUUC